rnacentral:rRNA from 1 species
GACAGAGGGUGCAAACGUUGUUCGGAUUUACUGGGCGUAAAGAGCGUGUAGGCGGCUAGAUAGGUCCGUUGUGAAAACUCGAGGCUCAACCUCGAGACGUCGAUGGAAACCAUCUGGCUAGAGUCCGGAAGAGGAGAGUGGAAUUCCCUGGUGUAGCGGUGAAAUGCGCAGAUAUCAGGAAGAACACCCGUGGCGAAGGCGGCUCUCUGGUACGUGACUGACGCUGAGACGCGAAAGCGUGGGGAGCAAACAGG